rnacentral:tRNA from 1 species
GGAGCAGUCGGUAGCUCAGUGGUAGAGCGCAUGCUCUGUGUGUAUGAUGUCCUGGUUCAAAUCCCAGCUGCUCCC